CAGCUCUCCGAGUGGUAGGGAUGAUUAUUGGGCUUAAAGCGUCCGUAGCCGGCUUAGCAAGUCUCCUGUUAAAUUCAGCGACCUAAUCGUUGAGCCGCGGGAGACACUACUAGGCUAGGAGGCGGGAGAGGCCGACGGUAUUCUCGGGGUAGGGGUGAAAUCCUAUAAUCCCGGGAGGACCACCAGUGGCGAAGGCUGUUGACUAGAACGCGCUCGACGGUGAGGGACGAAAGCUGGGGGAGCGAACCGGAUUAGAUACCCGAGUAGUCC
rnacentral:rRNA from 1 species